rnacentral:rRNA from 1 species
GUACGGGAGGCAGCAGUAGGGAAUAUUGCUUAAUGGGCGAAAGCCUGAAGCAGCAACGCCGCGUGUGCGAUGAAGGCCUUCGGGUUGUAAAGCACUUUUUGCUGGGAAGAGGAAGGACGGUACCAGCAGAAUAAGCCUCGGCUAACUACGUGCCAGCAGCCGCGGUAAAACGUAGGAGGCGAGCGUUAUCCGGAUUUACUGGGUGUAAAGCGCGUGCAGGCGGUUUACUAAGUUAGGUGUGAAAGCUCCUGGCUCAACUGGGAGAGGUCGCUUAAGACUGGUAGACUUGAGAGCAGUAGGGGAAGGUGGAAUUCCGGGUGUAGUGGUGAAAUGCGUAGAUAUCCGGAGGAACACCAGUGGCGAAGGCGGCCUUCUGGACUGCAUCUGACGCUCAGACGCGAAAGCUAGGGUAGCAAACGGGAUUAGAUACCCCGGUAGUCCG